AUUGAACGCUGGCGGCAGGCCUAACACAUGCAAGUCGAGCGGUGCGGCGGACGGGUGAGUAAUGCAUAGGUACCUGACUGGUAGCGCGGGAUAAGGGACGGAAACGGGCGCUCAUACCGUAAACUCUUAGAUGAGUCUAGGUGGGAUUAGCUAGUUGGCGGGGUAAAGGCCUACCAAGGCGACGAUCCGUAACUGGGCUGAGAGGAUGAUAAGUCACACUGGAACUGAGACACGGUCCAGACUCCUACGGGAGGCAGCAGUGGGGAAUAUUGGACAAUGGGGGAAAGCCUGAUGCAGCCAUGCCGCGUGUGUGAAGAAGGUCUUCGGGUUGUAAAGCACUUUAAGUUGGGAGGCGUUACCAGCAGAAUAAGCACCGGCUAACUUCGUGCCAGCAGCCGCGGUAAUAC
rnacentral:rRNA from 1 species